UACGUAGGGGGCUAGCGUUGUCCGGAAUCAUUGGGCGUAAAGAGCGCGUAGGCGGCCAGAUAAGUCCGGUGUGAAAGUCAAAGGCUCAACCUUUGAAUGCCGCUGGAAACUGUCUGGCUAGAGUCCGGGAGGGGCGAGUGGAAUUCCUGGUGUAGCGGUGAAAUUCGUAGAUAUUGGAAAGAACACCAGUGGCGAAGGCGGCUCACUGGCUCGGUACUGACGCUGAGGCGCGAAAGCGUGGGGAGCAAACAGG
rnacentral:rRNA from 1 species